AAAUAAGAAGCAAAAUAUAUGCAUUUAGUUUCGACCUAAAAAUUUGAUACAACUUAUCCUUAUUUA
rnacentral:tRNA from 1 species